rnacentral:misc_RNA from 1 species
UUUCCGUAGGUGAACCUGCGGAAGGAUCAUUAUUGUAUAACCGAGGUGCGAGGGCAGUCGCUGACCCGAAAGGUCGUGCACGCCCGAGUGCCCUCACACACAUCCAUCUCACCCCUAUGUGCACCACCGCGUGGGUCCCCCUUUGGCUUGUUCGGAGGGGGGCUUACGUUUUCACACAAACUUUGUAUGCAGUGUAGAAUGUAUUUUUGUUUUUGCGAUCACGCAAUCAAUACAACUUUCAACAACGGAUCUCUUGGCUCUC